AAGUCGUAACAAGGUAUCCGUAGGUGAACCUGCGGAUGGAUCAUUACUAAAUUUUGAACGUUUGAAUUGCAAUUCAAUUUGCAUUUCAUUCGAUUUAAAUCUCAUCAUUGGUGAACUGUUUGGUGUUCUGACUUGGACGUUCGCGUUCAAUCCAGACACUGCUUUUUUAAUGAAUAUACAACUAAAAACUAUAUCUAGAAAUCUUAAAACUUUUAGCAACGGAUCUCUAGGCUCUC
rnacentral:misc_RNA from 1 species